UACAGAGGUGGCAAGCGUUGUUCGGAAUUACUGGGCGUAAAGGGCGCGUAGGCGGCCAUCUAAGUCAGACGUGAAAUCCCCAGGCUCAACUUGGGAACUGCGUCUGAUACUGGAUGGCUUGAAUUCGGGAGAGGGAUGCAGAAUUCCAGGUGUAGCGGUGAAAUGCGUAGAUAUCUGGAGGAAUACCGGUGGCGAAGGCGGCAUCCUGGACCGAGAUUGACACUGAUGAGCGAAAGCUAGGGGAGCAAACGGG
rnacentral:rRNA from 1 species